rnacentral:lncRNA from 1 species
UCAAUAUAAAAAGGGACUUUUGAUCAGUUUCUAUGUCUUCCUGCCUUUUCUCAUUGUGACAGCCAUUAUGGUUGUUAAGCAGAAUAUCUCAAAGAUGUUCGGGCAAGGAGAGGAAGAGUUUAGUGAAGGAUCCAUAUCAGAAGAAAUUAACGACAGCAAGCAGUCAUAGAGCCAAAGAAUGGAGGGAGCGGAUACUGGAAGUUGUAAUGAUGCCUCGCGUGCUUACAGAGUGUCACAUUUAUGCAACAGCAAAGCCACAACAGAAAAAGAUCACCAAGAAAGUCACCAUUCCUUGGUCUUAUUUCGAGAACAAGAACCAGUCCAUCUCUUUCUCCGUGGCUUACUGGUUUCAGUUAUCCAUGCCUCCAAAUAAAUCCUAUGGCUGAAAGUA